rnacentral:RNase_P_RNA from 1 species
CAAGCUGGCCGGGUGAUCGCGGCGCCACGUGGUGACGCCGAGGAAAGUCCGCACUCCACAGAGCAAGGUGCCGGCUAACGGCCGGGCGGGGCGACCCGAUGGCAAGUGCAACAGAGAGGAGAUUGCCGGCAGCGGCCGGAAACGGCCGUGUGGGCGAGGGUGAAACGGUGGUGUAAGAGACCACCGGCGGCGGCAGUAAUGUCGCUGGCCAGGCAAACCCCACCAGGAGCAAGGCCAAGCAGGACGGAAGGCAGCGGCAGGCAACUGCCGGCAGUCUGCGGAGCGGCUCGUUCCGCCAGACGUCCGGGUAGGCUGCACGAGGGCGCCAGCAAUGGCGCUCCCAGAGAGAUGAUCACCGCCCUUCGGGGAACAGAAUGCGGCUUACAGGCCGGCUUGGUAU